UAUUCAAAACACAUAACAUGUCACUUUAAAAAGCAUUAUUAAGACAGAGGAAGAAUUUUACAUUUUAAUCGGUCGCCACCUUGAAGUUUCCAUAAAAUUGGAAACUGGGAGAUAGAGUCAGUUUCUCUACCUUACUGAGUAAUAGCUUAUGUACUGUUCAGAUGUUUACUCAAAGUUAGAAGAAUUUUUCAUUGGAAAGUACAUUUAAUGCUGUCUGCAUUGAAAAAUGAAGAAUUGGGGUAGCUUAUUUAAGAAACAUACAUACUUAGCUUGUUGAUGAUAAUGCAGUCUAUGGGAAAUACUUGUUUGUAUCUGUGAAUUUCAUUUUCUCUUUCUCCAAUUGAUUUAGAGUGUCAAGUCAAGGAUCUGAAGGAAAUAAGGAAGUACUGAAAGGUUAAGUACAGUUUGCGAUAAUUACUGAGUUGGUACAAGGAAACCAGUAAGUAUCUGGCUAGUUAGAGACAAAGAUGUUAAGGAUCUGUGGUUUUAAAAGCAGUAUAAUAUAAUAGCAAUUUACAGCUACUCUUAAGGGACAGCAUCAGCUGAAUUUCUCAAUGAGAUAACUUUGACCUAUAUUUGACUUUGUUUUGAAAGGCAAAGUGCCUCAUCACACUCUUUGAGAAGCAAGACAGAAGGACAGCAGGAACUCUUAAGUUUGGUCAUGCCAAUCCAGUAACAGGAGACAACCUGCAUUGACCUAACAAAAAGGACAGUGAUAGUCAGAGUUUUGGUUCUUCACAGCUUAACUGUCAUUGGGCUAAAUGAUUUUCACUUGAAACAAAGCCAGCCCGAGAAAACAAUAAAAUUUUGACAAUUAGCCACAAACAUAUGCCCACAACACAGCUGAAAUACAACAGAGAGUAGCAGUUUUAUGUCCCCAUAAGAAGUCCAGCCCCAGCCUUCAAUUUGGACCAAGCAAAAUCAAGAAUUGUGGGAAGUCCUAGUUUGGUCCAGAAUAGUCGAAUCAAAAUAUCCCUGUGGGUUUGGCAGCUCCUAGCUUUAAAACAAACAUAGCAUCAAUGGCUAUAGGGCAACAACUGUGAAGCCCGUCUACAAGCCUCAAACAAAAGUCUGUCUUCCUAUUUCUGCAAGUCCCCCUUAUACCAGGAAUGACUUAGCAAUCAAUUAGAGUUUCCGGAGGUCACUCGACUCCAGCAGUUUCUGUUGGGAUUAAUCAAACCCGAAAGAAAUGCUAUUUGCUAAUAGGCAAUAAUAAGUAUAGUUUAGAAAUUAGAAAAUACCUCCUUACUCUGACACUCCAAGGAUGGUCUAUUGUAUCUGACUUUUAACAAACUCUUCACCCUAUGAUCACAAAAUCAUGACAGUGAUGGUUUCUAUUACAUAAUUUUAUGUCUUAUCUGUAGGCCUCAAAUAUAUUUUAUCCUGUCUAGAUACUUGUAUACAAAUCCUCAAAUCAUACCUCUUUGUCUCUACUGUUGGUAUUCAGCAUCUCCCCAAAUCCUUAUUUCUGUUUAGGUGUAAACAGUGUAGGCCUUGGGAAGGUCUUUUGAGUACAGUUGUUUUAACCGGCUUGUCUACUUUCUUUUUUGUCUGUCAGGACCAUAUAUCCUUCACCUUUCUCUCACUGGUCCCAUCCUUAUCCCUCACCUUUACUCAUCACCAGCUCUAAAUCGUUCCUACCAAAAUAGUGUUUGAUUUUAAGAUUGAAAGAACAUAUCUUGCAUGUUAUAGAACAAAUAACUCACUAAAGAUGAGCAGGUGCUAAGAAAGAUGAGAAUAAAUUAUUUUAUGAAUUUUGGGUGUAUUUGAUUCACCUAAACUUCAUAUAGAUUGUGUGUGUGUGUGAUUUGCUGCUAAAACAUGGCAGAAGCUACUAUAUUCGAUGUCUCAAUUAUGGUCUUAUUGAGACUUUUUCUAUUUCAGAGGCUGAGCACAAGCUUCCACUGUUUAUAAGAAGAAAUAAGAUGAAAAUACCCAUUGCAGAAUAUUUCAGCAAGCCAAAGUCUCUUCCCAGGCCUAAAACUCAAGAGAGCAUAUCAACAAAACCAACAUAAGCAAGGAGUAUACAGCAAGGAUACAGUCUCUCUCCCCAGAGAAGAUUUUAUCCUGUAACACACCAAAGGUAGAAAUUCUAGACUGGGCUAAGUCUUUCACAAACGUUAUUACAGACGGUUGAGUAGACCUCCCUUGCAAUGAGACAAACCCAUCCAAAAAAUAUAUGAAAGGAAGUUUGAAAGAAUAUUAUAACAAUGUAUUAUUUAUUUAGAAUCUACUACUCCAACAUCUCUUCACCUCACAUCUCAAUUAUUUAAGUAGCCUCCUGACGUUAUUUCCCUGUCUCUAGCCUCAGAUCUCUCCAGUUUACUUCCACACACGGAUGGUGCACUCAUUUUCUGAAAACACUAUCACGUUUUAUCUUUAUCUGUAGAAUAAAAUUCAAACUCCUUAACUUAGUAAUUCUUUCCUGAAUAUAGCAGUAACCUAUCUUUCUCUGUUCCAACAAAACAAAUGCAUUUUUGUCAUGUAUUUGCUCACUUUGUUCUCCAGCCAAAGAACGCCUUCUCCAAUUACUUCCUUCUCCAUCUACAUGAAUCAUCUAAAGGAAAGGGCUUACAGAUUUAAUAAAUUCCAUGCAUCUGCUUCCACAAAGAUACACAUUUGAAAUCUUCUUCACCAAAACUGUCAGGUCAGAGGUACAAGACUGAACAACAGUUGGCAGUCAGAAUUUUGCAAAUUGCACCAGAAGAAUAAAGGAAGAUGCAUCCAUCGCCAGGCUCAGACGGCAUUUCUCAAUAAUUUUUGUGGAAAUCAAAAAUGAAGCGGAGACCUCUCACCUAAGAUGUAUACCUUAUUGAUUAAUAAACAGCCAUUUUUCUGGAAAAUGGUAUAUUAUAAACUUGAUCCCUAUGCUGAAUAAGGGCCCCAAGAGGAAUGUGCAUAAUUAGAGACCAGCCAACUCACAUCUCUCUGGAAAACUGGUGGUAUGAAAUAAUAAAUUUAACAAGCCACAAAAUAGCUGAACGUAUGCCUAUUCUAACUUAUUACAUUAUUUCUUAGAAAAAUAGGCAUGAACAUAAAACUUGGUAAAUAUAUUGUACUUUAAAACUUAAAAAACCUUUGAAAAUGUUUUAUACUAUGGACUAUUAAUAAAUUAAAUGCAGUCAUUAUGGGAUUAGUGAGUGAGACAGGGAAAGUCUAUCACAGUGAGAACUGGCUUGGAGAAAGGAAAAAAGUGUAGGAAUAACCCACUACUUCUCUGAGUAGAAUAGGGUUAAGGUUCCUUAGGGACUGGUACUAAAGCCAAUCUAUUAGUAAUCUUUGCAAAUGACUGAGAGUAGUUUAGUCCAAUAGAAAAAAAUGUGAGCCACAUAUAUAAUUUGAAAUCUUCUAAUAGCCACAUGAAAAAAAGUGAAAAGAAAUAGAUGAAAUUAAUUUUAAUAAAUUAAUUUGGUUUUUUUUUAAUUUUAAGGAGAUAUUUUACAUUCUCUCUCUUUUUUUUGUACUAAUGUCUAUUUGACAUUUAUAGCACAUCUCAACUCAGACCAGUCACAUUUCAAGAGUUCAGCAGCCACAUGUGGAAGUGGACACCAUAUGGUAUAGCACAGAUUUAGAAGAAAGAGAAUGCAAGUACAUUUCCAAAUUUUAGAGUGACUUCACUCUUAUAAAUAAUGUAUAGCCAGUUUGCUAGGUAGAGACUGCAUACAGACCUUUAAAUUUUUUCCUUUUUAAAAAAAUAUGUUUUAAAGUUGGCAGUAAAAUAGCAAGUGAGAUUUCAUGAAAGCAAGUACAGACUAUAUCUCAAGGCUCUUGGCUUCUUCCACUGGUAAACUUAGGUACAGUGAUAUGCAGGGUUUGUAGCUGCUGACUCUUAUAUUUAUUAGCAUUGUGUAGAACUUAGGUAAAACAUGUAGACCUUUACACAUAAAAAUACCUUGAAUUAUGUGAGAGUUAAUCUAUUUUAGUUACCUUCCA